AUUCCAGCUCCAAUAGCGUAUACUAAAGUUGUUGCAGUUAAAAAGCUCGUAGUUGAAUUUCUGGUCUUGGACAGCGGUCUGCCUCAAACGAGGUACGCACCAUCUAUCCGAGUCCAUCCUCGGGGAAAACAUGUCUGUGAUUCAGUUCAUGGGCAUGGGAUCCUCGUCAUUUACUGUGAGCAAAAUAGAGUGUUCAAAGCAGGCUUAUGCCGUUGAAUAUUUUAGCAUGGAAUAAUAAGAUAAGACCUUGGUCUAUUUUGUUGGUUUCGAACACCGGAGUAAUGAUUAACAGGGACAGUCAGGGGCUCUCGUAUUCCGCCGAGAGAGGUGAAAUUCUCAGACCAGCGGAAGACGAACCACUGCGAAAGCAUUUGCCAGGGAUGUUUUCAUCA
rnacentral:rRNA from 1 species